rnacentral:tRNA from 1 species
GCCAAUGAUAUAAUGGCAGAGCAUCUGCUUGACAUGCAGGGGGUCGGCCCUGGGUUCGAGCCCCAGCAGCUCCA